rnacentral:rRNA from 1 species
AACGAACGCUGGCGGCAGGCCUAACACAUGCAAGUCGAGCGCACCUUCGGGUGAGCGGCGGACGGGUUAGUAACGCGUGGGAACGUACCCUUUUCUACGGAAUAGCCUUUGGAAACGAAGAGUAAUACCGUAUACGCCCUUUGGGGGAAAGAUUUAUCGGAGAAGGAUCGGCCCGCGUUAGAUUAGAUAGUUGGUGGGGUAACGGCCUACCAAGUCUACGAUCUAUAGCUGGUUUUAGAGGAUGAUCAGCAACACUGGGACUGAGACACGGCCCAGACUCCUACGGGAGGCAGCAGUGGGGAAUCUUAGACAAUGGGCGCAAGCCUGAUCUAGCCAUGCCGCGUGAGUGAUGAAGGCCUUAGGGUCGUAAAGCUCUUUCGCCUGUGAUGAUAAUGACAGUAGCAGGUAAAGAAACCCCGGCUAACUCCGUGCCAGCAGCCGCGGUAAUACGGAGGGGGUUAGCGUUGUUCGGAAUUAGUGGGCGUAAAGCGCACGUAGGCGGAUUGGAAAGUUGGGGGUGAAAUCCCGGGGCUCUACCCCGGAACUGCCUCCAAAAGUAUCAGUCUAGAGUUCAAGAGAGGUGAGGGAAUUCCAAGAGUAGAGGUAAAUU